GCUGUGAUGGCCGAGUGGUUAAGGCGUUGGACUCGAAAUCCAAUGGGAUCUUCCCGCGUAGGUUCGAACCCUACUCGCAGCG
rfam:Strongylocentrotus purpuratus Contig4787_fixed, whole genome shotgun sequence.